GUUUAUUAUAGUGUUGUACAUUAGGAUGCAUUAACAACAAAGGCAGAAGACAAAAUUUUUGUUAAAGUGCAUUCAAAAGUAAUUAUUUUGAUAGUUUUAUAUAUUUUCUUAUGACUUUUUUUUCCUUCUUUAUGUUUUGGUGUAAAUAUCAUGAAAGAAUAUAGUCUGUAAAGGCAGACUUUUGAAUUAUCUCUUCUUUAUUUGGUGUCCAGGCUCCCACUUAUUUUAACAAAUUCAAAUGACAAGCAUAUUUAAAAAAAGAUUGUCAUGUAAAUAAACAGAUGUAUCAUCUUUUAACUUCAUUUGCUAAGAUUUAUUGAAUUUAUACUGUAUAUGUUCAGGUUUAGAUAUUGGUCACACACAAAACCACAAUCGUAAUUCAUAGUGUUUGGUCUAAGAUGUUGUAAGGUACUGACAAGAAUUCACCAAAGAAUGAGCCUUAUUUGAGAAGAAUUUUCU
rnacentral:lncRNA from 1 species